ACCCGUCUAGCUCCAGUCGGUAGAGCGCUGGCCUUUUAAGCCAGUGGUCGUGGGUUCGAUCCCCACGGGGGGUG
rnacentral:tRNA from 1 species